UCCGGUUUGUCACCGGCGGUCUCCUUAGAGUUCCCUCCGAAGAGAGUUGCUGGCAACACGGGACAAGGGUUGCGCUCGUUGCGGGACUUAACCCAACAUCUCACGACACGGGCUGACGACAGCCAUGCACCACCUGUCACCCGGCCACAAGGGGGGCACCAUCUCUGAUGCUUUCCGGGCGAUGUCAAGCCUUGGUAAGGUUCUUCGCGUUGCGUCGAAUUAAGCCACAUGCUCCGCUGCUUGUGCGGGCCCCCGUCAAUUCCUUUGAGUUUUAGCCUUGCGGCCGUACUCCCCAGGCGGGGCACUUAAUGCGUUAGCUGCGGCACCGACGACGUGGAAUGUCGCCAACACCUAGUGCCCACCGUUUACGGCGUGGACUAC
rnacentral:misc_RNA from 1 species